rnacentral:lncRNA from 1 species
CUGAGUCCUGUCUUUGGAGACGCUAAUUUAAAGUUGCUUCCCUAACAAUUGUUUAGGGCAUAAAGCAGCUAUUUAAGAGAUUGACAGUCUAAAGUUGGGGUGAAGCUUUGAAAACUGGGAAAUGAAAAACCCUAUACACAAGAUCUGCUUCUUUCUGCGUGUCUGUUAUGUUGAUAUGCGUCCUAUACAGAAGACAACUUCCUCUCAACAAUCAUUUCCCUUUGUCAUCCUUUUCCUGGCUUCUGUUAAGGAAGGGGAAAUUGAAGUCAUCCAGCUGACAAUCACAGUUCCACAGAUACCUCAAUGGGCUGCUGCCUCUACCUGCAUAGUCUUCUUCUGGUACUGGAACCACUCUAUAUAAAUUGUUGAUGAAUAAGUAUCCUGCUUGUAGAAACUCAGGCACCAACUGGAAGACCCAGAGGCUGUGGGUCAACCCACCUGCAUCUGUGACAUCACAGCUCUAUAAACAAUGUUUGUAUGUUUUUAUUCAGAAAACAAAGAUAUUUCUAAUUUAAAAAAAUUUAAAAAAACUUAAAGAAUGCUGUCUUUUAAAAAAUAUUUAUUUAUUGGCAUGAGUUAAGAAUCACCCAAAUUUCUUUUACAUGCCUAUAAAAAUGAUAUAAUUUGUUUUCUUUAAGUUACUGAUUUACUGUGUAAUAUUUAUGAAUUGUUAAAUAUUGCAUUGGGGUUGGAUUCCCAAUUUGAUUUAUUACUUUCCUAUUAUAUUGCUUAAUUUAGAGUAGUUUAUUUAGAUUGUCAUAUCUACAGCUAACUACAAUCAAUUCACUUCUAAUUUUGUAAAAACUUCAGCAGCUCUAAGGAUUGAGUUAGCCAUUGCCUUGUAAUUAUAACGGGUAACUAUCUUUUUGAUCCUUGACUUGGAAUGAAUAGUUGACACUGAAAUUGCUAAAGAAUAAUGUGGAAAAUCCCUCUCACACUGUUCACCUUCAUUGCUGUGGAUAAUCUUUAACAACUUUAUUUUCUCAGUUGCUCUGUUCAGGUUUUUUACCUCUUACUAUGUUAAUUUUGAUGUUAGUUUUGCUGUUAUUCUAGUACUUGUUGGUCUGUUUUACAGAAUAUGAUCCCUUUCAUUGCUAUUUCUAAAUUUAUCACAAAACUGUGAGAGAAAUCCAUUAUAAUUUAAUCAUUUUAUCCAUUACGAUGUAUGAUAUACCCUUUGUAAUGGUGAUGUCUUAUUUUGAUUAAACUUAAUUAUAUAUUUUUUUAUUUUGACUUCAUAAAAACCAUAUUUUGGAUUAUUCAUUACUUUUACUAAUUUUUAGCCCUGUAUUUUUUUCUGAAUUUUGAAAUUUAUUUUGAAAUAAAUAAUUUCCUUUUCUCA